AGAGUUUGAUCAUGGCUCAGAUUGAACGCUAGCGGCAUGCUUAACACAUGCAAGUCGAACGGCAGCGCGGAGAGCUUGCUCUCUGGCGGCGAGUGGCGGACGGGUGAGUAACGCGUAGGAAUCUACCUUAUAGUGGGGGAUAACUCGAGGAAACUCGAGCUAAUACCGCAUAAUCUCUACGGAGCAAAGCGGGGGACCUUCGGGCCUCGUGCUAUUAGAUGAGCCUGCGUCGGAUUAGCUUGUUGGUGGGGUAAAGGCCUACCAAGGCGACGAUCCGUAGCUGGUCUGAGAGGACGAUCAGCCACACUGGGACUGAGACACGGCCCAGACUCCUACGGGAGGCAGCAGUGGGGAAUAUUGGACAAUGGGCGCAAGCCUGAUCCAGCAAUGCCGCGUGUGUGAAGAAGGCCUUCGGGUUGUAAAGCACUUUCAGUAGGGAAGAAAAGCAGUACAUUAAUAAUGUAUUGCCCUGACGUACCUGCAGAAGAAGCACUGGUA
rnacentral:rRNA from 1 species